GAUCAUGGGGAAAGGUACUGGCACGGUCUCUUCAGUUCCUGGUAGGGAGAGGAGAGUCAGAGACUGGCCCACAUUAGUGGUUGCAUAAGGCUGAGGGAGGGACCUGAGGGUGAUGGCAACUUGCUACAGGAUUUCUUUCAGGGACGAGGAAAAUUUUCUAAGGUUGUGGUGAUAUUUGCACAACUCUGUGAAUAUACUAAAAGUCAAUGAAGUGUGCGCUUGAAAUGAGUGAAUUGUAUGGUCUAUAAAUUAUAUCUCAAUAAAUCUGUUACUAAAUAAAUAAAUAAGUAAAUGUCCCCCCCUACCCCCGCCAGAUCUAACUCCUUAAUUCAGUUCUGGGGGCCUGCUCUUCUACAUAUCUAGCCUAAGAAUACUGUCCAGGAAAUUACUCAUUUGAAUGACUAUUUCAGCCAAUUCCCACACCUUUCUUUGUUCUGCCUUCACUUCCUCCCUUUAAAAGGUGAAUUGAAAUCCUAGAUGGAAAAAAUUGUCCUAACUAGGUGUGGUGACACUUCCUGUGGGCAAAAUAUAAGAAACAUGUUGCUAAAGGCCAAAGUUCCUAAUAUAACAAGAAGUAAUGUGAACGUCAUACAAUGAAAUAUUAUCAGCCUUAAAAAAGCAUGAAAUUCUGACAUGCUACAACAUUUGGAUGAACCUUGAAGACAUUAUGCUAAAUGAAAUAAGCCUGUUACAAAAAGACAAAUACUGAAUGAUUUAUUUAUAUGAGGUACCUGUACUUAGAGUGAUCAAACAUCAUAGAGGCAGAAAGUAGAAUUCUACUGGGGGUGGGGGGGGAGAUGGGGAGUUAUUGUUUAAUAGGUACAGAGUUUCAGUUUUGCAAGAUGAAAAAAAUUCUGGAAAUAGAUAAGGGUGUUGGUCAUACAACAAUAUGAAUGUACUUAAUAUGACUGAACUGUACACUUAAAAAGGGUUAAGAUGGUAAAUUUUAUAUGUAUUUUACCACAAUAAGAAAAAAAAAUUUGUUGUGUAAUGUGAACUUCACUGAAGACUGCCAAGUAAUGAAAAUAGGUACCGAUGAAUGAUGCUAGGAUAAGAUCUCAUGUCUCAUUUUAACAAGUACCAAGAGGAACACCAGAGCUCUCCAGAGUUCUGUGUCCCUCCUUGUUACAUACAUAAAUCACUCAAUCAUCAUUCAUACCUCUUCUCUGAGAACAUAUUGCCUCAGACCACUCCCAAAUUUUACCCUCUCCCUCUUUGUUUGUCAGAAAUAAGGCACAGUCAGUAAUUUCCUAAAAAGUCUAGAUCAGAGUUUUUAUUCUCACAAUUAUCAAAAUUUUUUGAGCAAUUAAAGUAAAGCCAAAGUUUUUAAACUUAUUUUUGCAAUAGCCCCUUGUAAAAUGAGAAUAAUAUUAGUACAUUUUAUAUAUGAGAAAACUAAAACAUAGGAAGGUUAAAUAAUUUGUCCAAGAUGCACAGCCAGUAAGUUGCAGAACCAGUUUUCAAACUCCCAAACUGACCUGUUCCUGAAAGUCCAGACCCUAAAAUCUGAAAUCUCGGGCCCUCAUUUAAUCUGAUUGGAUAAGUGAAACAAAACAAGUUUCUCCUGUGGGAAGUCUCAGAUGUUUAACUUCCAGGCGUACAUUAAAACUCUUCUAUAGUGGAAAGGGGAUAUAAUAUACACCAUUUCCUCAACUUAUUUGACCACUGGACUAAUUUUUCAUGGAGCAUCUCAAGGAAUUUUCUUAGCUGAAAUUUUGCAAAACUUUACAUGUAAUACAGAAUAUUGCUUUUGUCUUUUUCCACUACUUUAAGAGAAUAUUUGAAUUACUUUCUCUCAUUUGGAAAAAUUUUUUAAUUGAGAUAUUGAGAAACUUAAUGAUUUGCCUAAGGCCAUAACCAGUUAAUACUGGAGCUGUAAUUAGACUCUAGGUCUGGCCAUAAUUUCAGGGAUUUUUUUUUUUAAUUAUAGAAGGAAUAUAUUCACAUUGUAGAAAAUCAAACAAAUCAAACAGAGAUAUGCGAAGACUCCCCCUCCGCCACCCCCCAGUAUUCCAACCUCAUCUUCCUUGGGGAAAAAACUAUUCUAGUUAAAGUAGAUUUGGCUGCAAGUGACAGAAAAUUUAAAAUAAGUAGCUUAAAAAUAUAAAGAGGUUUAUUUUGCUCCCAUGAAAAUGUCCAGAGGUAUGCAGUCCUGGGUUGUUAGGGGAGCUCUGCCGCUUGAGGACCUCAGGGUCUUAGAUUCCUUCCAGCUCCAUCCCAAGGGUGGAACCCUGAUUCUCAUAAUCCAAGAUGGCAGUAGUUCCAAAGGACACGCAGCAGCCGUCUUUUAUUUAUUUAUUUAUUUGUUUUGCGGUACGCGGGCCUCUCACUGUUGUGGCCUCUCCCGUUGCUGAGAACACAGGCUCCGGACGCGCAGGCUCAGCGGUCAUGAGCUCACCCGGAUCAGGGCACGAAUACGUGUCCCCUGCAUCGGCAGGCGGACUCUCAACCACUGCGCCACUAGGGAAGCCCAGCAGCUGUCUUUUAAGGAAUGAUACUUGAAGCUGUCACACAAAGAUAUUUCCAUUUUCAUCUCAUUGGCCUGAACUUAGUCACUGACCAUAGCUCGCUGCAAAUAUAGCAGACUAGGAAAAAUACAGUUUUUAUUCUGAGAGGUUAUACGCCCAACUAAAAAUUACAUUACUAGAAGUGGGAGAAAUUAUGUCAGGGAACUGUUUCUGAAACUAAAUAAUCGUCAGCACUUGUUAUGCAUCCUUUCAGACUGUUUUCUUGUACUAUACACAUUACUCUGCAACUGGCCUUUUUCAUUUAAUGUAUCACUGAGGUAUCAGAGUCCUCAGCUAAAAGAAAUACAAAUCAACUCCGGCUAAUUCAGCGGAAAAAUAACUUAUUAAAGGACAUUGGGUAGUUCAUACGAUUUCUAGGGAGAUAGAUAGAGAAUUAGACUUGGAUUUUAAGUUAUUCCUGUUAGUCCUGACGAAUUAGUACCCUGAGCUGCCACUGCCACUGGGCACGAACACUGCGGCUUGCAUAUCUGACUUACUCUGCCCUCUGCCCUGGCUCCAUGGGCAUACGACCUAUGCAGUCCCAUAGGGCCCUGCACUGAGAAAGGCUGUGACCUCGGUUUGUCUGUUGUUCCUGUCUUGAAAUUCUUAAUAAUUUUUGAACAAGCGGCCCCACAUUUUUAUUUUGCACUGGCUCUUACAAAUCAUGUAGCCAGUCCUACGUUCUGGACAUUGGGUGCUACUAUUUGAGUCACUAUGAUGACUACCGCCUCUAGAAACUGGCUGAAGCUGCCCCUGUUGCCAUACCCCUCACCAGGCUUCAUUCACUGCCUUCCCUGCUUCUUCCCCUCACCUGUUUCCAAUUCAAGAUGUGGGACUGGUGGUCUAAUCUGCAGAUUUUCUAGCUGUAACGGAGGCUAGAAAAGUGAAUAGCUGGCAUUUUAUGGUGGGAGGAAAGCUGUAUCUUACAAGGCAGAGGCAGCGGUGGUUGCGUGGGGAUCCCCCAAACAUAGGAAGUAGGUUCAGCGGCUCAAUAGUC
rnacentral:lncRNA from 1 species